rnacentral:lncRNA from 1 species
GAUGGCAUUUCACGUGCUUAAUGGAAAAAGCCUGCUGUGGCAGAGACUCCAGCUCCUAGCACUCACCCUAAGGUCUCUAAAGAAGAUUAGAAGGGGCACCAACGACUCCACCUGAAUGGUGGUAAUGCUAACCACUGGGCAUAACUGCCCCAAAUGCCUCAUCCGCUGCCAGGACCCUGCCUAAACCGUGGACAAGCAGGACACUGGAGAGUUGAUUGCCCUACUUUGCCGAGACAAAGUGAGGUCAAUUUCUCAAGGUCCUCCUCCACAGGAAGAAGGCCUCUCUGGUUUGCCAGACCUGGCAGCUGAAGAUCGAUCGACGCAGCCCUGUGACGUGUGCCCCCAACGAAGCCACGGACACCACAGGAGCCUGGUGGGUUGGCAGCUAGGUAAUAGCUAACUAAGUCUCUGUUUUAAUUGAUACAUAGGCCAUUUGGAUUAUAUUUCCUUUUGUAAGUUUAUCCUUUUAUAGUUCAUCCUUCUCAGAUCUCUGAUGACAUUGACGGCUGUCAGUUUCGCAGAAGCAGCAGGCAGCUCCUUCACCUAAGGCUUCAGCAUCCUCAUUCCUUUUCCUAUGUAAAAAAAUCAAGCCUUGCUAACUCUAGAGUUAACUAGGUCUCUUGUUAAGAAGCGGCAGACAGGUUUGCCUUGCUAAUGGGCUAAAAAUUAAAAUAGAAACAGGUUUCAGAUGUAGCUUUUUACCGUUCCUUUAUUUAAACUUGCUUUGCAAUAACUGUUCUCAGUAGCAACUGCUCAUGUCUCUGACAAAUGAUUGGAUGGAGGUAAAAGGCUCAAAGUCUGCCAGUUCUGCGUGUUCAGAGGUGUAGGAUGGUCUGAGGAUGUGAGGUCUGGAAUCAGCUAAGGUGUAUAAACUCGAGUUGUAGGAAGGGAUUUAAGGUAGCUGAGGAAGUGGGGAAUGCCAGGUCUCCUUCCCCAGCUGUGCUCUUGCUAUGCUAAGAUUUCAGACGUUCAGAACUUUAGUAUUUCUCAGUGGAGUUGUGACAAGCUGGUGUGGCGCUGGCUGCUUACUAUUCAGUCACAAGCUCAAGAUUUUAAAUUUCUUUUAGUUGUCUUUUGUGUAGAAAUUUCAAGGUACUUUUCAUCACGCUAAAAGCAUCUAUGUCCAAUCUAUAUAUCCAUCCCUCUGGACCGAGACAAGAAUGUUUAUGCUUUUUAACCCAAACCCAUAGCUUUUGCUAGGACUCAGGCUUGAGUCUACUCCAGGUGUUUAAUAGACACCUGUUAGCUGGCUUUUCUAUGAUGUGGACUUUUUUUUGUACAGAUUAAUGCUAAUAGAUCUAAAACUUUUAUCUUUUUGUAAACUUAGAAAAUUCAUGUAAGGGACUGGAGAGAUAGCUCAGAGGUUAAGAGCACUGGCUGCUCUUCCCAAGGACCAGGGUUUAAUUCCCAGCACCCACAUGACAGCUCAUAACUGUCUGUAACUCCAGUCCCAAGGGACUGGAUGUCUUCUGGUCUCCUUGUGCAUAUGUGAGCUGCACAGACACACAUGCAGGGGACACCUAUAUAUGUAAAAAUCAAACAUUGAAAAGAUAAAUUCACGUGAGCUUCAGAGCACUGAAGGAGUCAUUAAGACUUGGACCCACCUCUCACAGGUCACAGGGGCUCCAGAUAAAUCCUGCCUAAGCCUCUCUAUCUGCUUGUCCUUGAGGCUGGGAUCUCUUACCUGGUCUUGGGACUCUUCCCCUUCUCUAGUUUCCAAGACUGUGGGCCUGAAAGUGCCAAAUGUAAGAUUUUCCUUUAAGGUCCUAAACUUUAACUUCUGUCCCGAGUCUAUCUCUGUCUCAGCAGAUGUCCACUUGGCUGACAGAUGCCCUCCAGGAAUCAACUGUGGACUACAAACUGCUCCAAAAAUGGCUCUGAGCUCUGGACUCAAGGAAAGCUGAUGUGAACCAGGCCAGCUGAUGUGCUUGCUCCCUGUCUCUUCAGCUGGGUCAUCUAACUGGAUGCCUCUGAUGCAUGUCCCAUCGCCGGAAUCCCUCCCUGCCUUUGACUAACAUUCCAGCCUUCCUAGGCCCUGGCAACAUCCUUGUUUCAGCAGGAAGUAGUUACAGAAGAGAAUUCAUCGCCCCUUUGCCCCCAACAGGCUGGAAUGUUAGAUCAAAAGGACAUUCACUGGCGUGGGGGACAAAAUGGCUACCUAUACUGCCUAUUGGCAUACUAGGAAAGGUACCUGUUAAACUUAGAGACCCAGAUCUAUGAACAGGUAGAUUCAUUAACUGAAAUAGUUCUACAGAGUGAUGGGGCAUGGGAUCUGUUUUGUAGAAGAUGGAGGUGUUAUGUGACUUUAAGAGAAAACUAUUGUUUGUAUACAAACCAUUCAGGGAUCAUCAGAGGUAAUCUGGGGACCCACAAUGAAGCAAAUGGCUGUUUCCCAAUCUCAUGCUCCUCCUAGUUAGUAACUCGGUCGGCCAUCUCAGGGUCUUUGACCCCUGUAUUUCUGCUGAUUACUGUUGGCUCUUGCUCAUUAAUUAAUGCCUUAACUAGAUAAUAAUUUCUGCCUGGGUACCAUUAAGCUGGUGGCUAUUGGAUUCUGAUGUAAACAGGUACCCAUCACAGAGUCAGGGAUUUGACUCAGGAUACAACUCAAGGGGAGAAUGUGAGAGAUAGUUAUAUUUAAAUUUUUAAUUAUGGUGCCUUAAGAGACCCACUAAACAAAAAUGCCUCUAUUGUAGACCACCUUCCUGAAAGGCCGGAGGCUGCCAUCUAUGGGAGAUAACAAGCCACAUGUUCCACACUCCCUAAACAACUUUGUUUAACACACCACACUGGAUGUGCUUGAUCACAUGUAGUGGGGAGGCACAUGGGCAGGAAAUACAUCAGGAUAUAUGUUUGGACCUGAUGGGAAAUGCAGUGGCUUUAUGGGCUUGUCUUUUUAAGCCUAAAUGUAAUGACUUAUUGCCAGUCUCUGGAAACCCAGGAGUGGACCUGGCCAGAGUCUAUCAUCCUGAGCAGUAUGUAAAUAAAGCUUGCUUCACAUUGGUCUCAGAA